rnacentral:rRNA from 1 species
CGAAAGCCUGACGGAGCAAUACCGCGUGAGGGAGGAAGGCCUUUGGGUUGUAAACCUCAAAAAUUAGGGAAGAAAAAAAUGACGGUACCUAAAAUAAGCAUCGGCUAACUCCGUGCCAGCAGCCGCGGUAAUACGGAGGAGGCAAGCGUUAUCCGGAAUUAUUGGGCGUAAAGCGUCCGCAGGUGGCGAUUCAAGUCUGCUGUCAAAGCACGGGGCUUAACUCCGUAAGGGCAGUGGAAACUGAAUAGCUAGAGUGCCGUAGGGGUAGAGGGAAUUCCCGGUGUAGCGGUGAAAUGCGUAGAGAUCGGGAAGAACAUCGGUGGCGAAAGCGCUCUACUGGACGGCAACUGACACUCAGGGACGAAAGCUAGGGGAGCG